rnacentral:misc_RNA from 1 species
AAACAAAAUGUCCUGCCUCUGUAAAUUACGGUGCCAAAAGAUUGGGCAGAAAGAUGCACAACACUUUUAUUCAAAUGGUUCAACUAGACCAUGAAUUCAUGUUGUUUCAGCUGACUUUACCGUGACAAUUUUUAUAUAUCAACAACAGAUUUGGGAUUGAACCCUUGUUUACAAUUGAAAAGAAAAAAUUGUGAAAGAAACUCAACAUUGCCAGUGUUAAAAAUAAUAUCCCAGUAAUUUGACUACACGACUGAAGCUCUCAACUUUACACCACCCUUCAUCCAUUGCAAAACCCAUGUUUUUGAGCAAUUAUUCCUAUAGAUAAAUGCAUUUAGGAUGACGCGGCUUUCUUGCAGUGAUUCUCAAGCCAUUCCAUUGUAACACUUUUUGGCCUCUCAAG